CUUUUACGUCGGCCUCCGCGAGCGUUUGGUAGUGUGGUAGGAACAAUGGCGCUGUCUUCAGUGGCACAGCGGAGCAGUUCUGUGAAGAUGCAAAGAUACACGAAAAAAAUUCCAGAACAUCUGGGAGAAUAUUUAAUGGAAAAUCGCUUGGUUAAAACCUGACACUUAACAGGUAUGUGUUGUUUUAGUACUUUAUGAUUGAGCAUAGCAUUUAAUCCACACCUAGACUAAACCGAAUUUUUUUUGUCAUUGAACAGCAUUCUGAGUGUGGACGAGUAGCCAGUGAAGAUAAUGAAUGUCGGAUGUCACUGACUAGCAGCUUCAUUUUGAAUGAGGGUCGCUGUCUGCCCAUUGAUAGAGGCCAGAUUGUCUUGGAAGUUCCAAAGUUGCAACGAUUUCUGGCUAGUGCCACGAGGUUUACUUGACUGUUGUGUGAAAAGCUGAUAAGAAAACCAUCCAGAAAACAGCUCUUCGUUUUACAAACAUGAAAAUAAAACAUGUAAUUUUG
rnacentral:lncRNA from 1 species